rnacentral:rRNA from 1 species
CGUGAAGGAUGAAGGCCUCUGGGCUGUAAACCUCUUUUUUCAAGGAAGAAGACAUGACGGUACUUGAGGAAUAAGCCACGGCUAAUUCCGUGCCAGCAGCCGCGGUAAUACGGGAGUGGCAAGCGUUAUCCGGAAUUAUUGGGCGUAAAGCGUCCGCAGGCGGCCUUGUAAGUCUGUCGUUAAAACGUGGAGCUCAACUCCAUUUCAGCGAUGGAAACUACAAGGCUUGAGUGUGGUAGGGGCAGAGGGAAUUCCCGGUGUAGCGGUGAAAUGCGUAGAUAUCGGGAAGAACACCAGUGGCGAAGGCGCUCUGCUGGGCCAUAACUGACGCUCAUGGACGAAAGCCAGGGGAGCGAAAGGGAUUAGAUACCCCUGUAGUCCUGGCCGUAAACGAUGAACACUAGGUGUCGGGGGAAUCGACCCCCUCGGUGUCGUAGCUAACGCGUUAAGUGUUCCGCCUGGGGAGUACGCACGCAAGUGUGAAACUCAAAGGAAUUGACGGGGGCCCGCACAAGCGGUGGAGUAUGUGGUUUAAUUCGAUGCAACGCGAAGAACCUUACCAGGGUUUGACAUCCUGCGAAUCCCUUGGAAACGAGGGAGUGCCUUCGGGAGCGCAGAGACAGGUGGUGCAUGGCUGUCGUCAGCUCGUGUCGU